UCCCUGGAGGACUAGUGGUUAGGCCUCAGCGCUUUCACCGCUGCAGCCUGGGUUCGAUUCCCAGCCUGGGGU
rnacentral:tRNA from 1 species